UACGUAGGGUGCGAGCGUUAAUCGGAAUUACUGGGCGUAAAGCGUGCGCAGGCGGUUCGUUGUGUCGGCGGUGAAAGCCCCGGGCUUAACCUGGGAAUGGCCGUUGAAACUGGCGAACUGGAGUGUGGCAGAGGGGGGUGGAAUUCCGCGUGUAGCAGUGAAAUGCGUAGAGAUGCGGAGGGACACCGAUGGCAAAGGCAGCCCCCUGGGCUGACACUGACGCUCAGGCACGAAAGCGUGGGGAGCAAACAGG
rnacentral:rRNA from 1 species